rnacentral:rRNA from 1 species
AUUGAACGCUGGCGGCAUGCUUUACACAUGCAAGUCGAACGGUAACAGGGAGCUUGCUCCGCUGACGAGUGGCGAACGGGUGAGUAAUGCGUCGGAACGUGCCGAGUAGUGGGGGAUAACGCAGCGAAAGUUGUGCUAAUACCGCAUACGUACUGAGGUAGAAAGUGGGGGACCUUCGGGCCUCACGCUAUUCGAGCGGCCGACGUCUGAUUAGCUAGUAGGUGAGGUAAAGGCUCACCUAGGCGACGAUCAGUAGCGGGUCUGAGAGGAUGAUCCGGCACACUGGGACUGGGAGACGGCCCAGACUCCUACGGGAGGCAGCAGUGGGGAAUUUUGGACAAUGGGCGAAAGCCUGAUCCAGCCAUGCCGCGUGUCUGAAGAAGGCCUUCGGGUUGUAAAGGACUUUUGUCGGGGAGGAAAUCCCCAGCGCUAAUACCGCUGGGGGAUGACAGUACCUGAAGAAUAAGCACCGGCUAACUACGUGCCAGCCGCCGCCGUAAAAC